AAUAGCGGAGGAAAAGAAACCAACCGGGAUUGCCUUAGUAACGGCGAGUGAAGCGGCAAAAGCUCAAAUUUGAAAUCUGGUACCUUCGGUGCCCGAGUUGUAAUUUGGAGAGGGCAACUUUGGGGCCGUUCCUUGUCUAUGUUCCUUGGAACAGGACGUCAUAGAGGGUGAGAAUCCCGUGUGGCGAGGAGUGCGGUUCUUUGUAAAGUGCCUUCGAAGAGUCGAGUUGUUUGGGAAUGCAGCUCUAAGUGGGUGGUAAAUUCCAUCUAAAGCUAAAUAUUGGCGAGAGACCGAUAGCGAACAAGUACAGUGAUGGAAAGAUGAAAAGAACUUUGAAAAGAGAGUGAAAAAGUACGUGAAAUUGUUGAAAGGGAAGGGCAUUUGAUCAGACAUGGUGUUUUGUGCCCUCUGCUCCUUGUGGGUAGGGGAAUCUCGCAUUUCACUGGGCCAGCAUCAGUUUUGGUGGCAGGAUAAAUCCAUAGGAAUGUAGCUUGCCUCGGUAAGUAUUAUAGCCUGUGGGAAUACUGCCAGCUGGGACUGAGGACUGCGACGUAAGUCAAGGAUGCUGGCAUAAUGGUUAUAUGCCGCCCGUCUUGAAC
rnacentral:rRNA from 1 species